GAUGAACGCUGGCGGCGUGCCUAAUACAUGCAAGUCGAGCGGACGGACGAGAAGCUUGCUUCUCUUAUGUUAGCGGCGGACGGGUGAGUAACACGUGGCUAACCUACCUAUAAGACUGAGGUAACUUCGGGAAACCUGAGCUCAUACCGGAUAAUAUUUUGAACCGCAUGGUUCAAAAGUGAAAGACGGUCUUGCUGUCACUUAUAGAUGGAACCGCGCUGCAUUAGCUAGUUGGUAAGGUAACGGCUUACCAAGGCAACGAUGCGUAGCCGACCUGAGAGGGUGAUCAGCCACACUGGAACUGAGACACGGUCCAGACUCCUACGGGAGGCAGCAGUAGGGAAUCUUCCGCAAUGGGCGAAAGCCUGACGGAGCAACGCCGCGUGAGUGAUGAAGGUCUUCGGAUCGUAAAACUCUGUUAUUAGGGAAGAACAUAUGUGUAAGUAACUGUGCACAUCUUGACGGUACCUAAUCAGAAAGCCACGGCUAACUACGUG
rnacentral:rRNA from 1 species